rnacentral:lncRNA from 1 species
AUGGUGUGGUGGCCUGUAUGCAAGUGCCGCUCUAGGGUCUACGAAGGGCUACCGUUGGAGCAUGUGAAUCAGCGAUGGCGUCUUAACGAUCUUUGGACUUGUCGCAUACAAUUCCCGAUCAUCAGACGCGUAGGGAACGCCAAACUCAAAUUCAAGGUCAGACCCAAUGGAGGCGAAGGAGAUGGAUAUCAUGGGAGUGCAUAUCAAGGAAGUGAAUAUGGUGGGAGCACAUAUCAAGGAGGCGAAUAUCAUGGAGGUUAUCAAGGAAGCGGAUAUUCAGGGGGUAAGGUCGAAAUAAGCGGAUAUCCAGUAAGCGGGUAUCCAACAAACGGACAUCCAGUAGGCGGAGGGGGAUAUCAAGUAUCUGGAGGAGGUGAAGGCGGAAAUCAAGUAAGCGGAGGAGGCGGCGGUGAUAAAUUAAGUGGAGGUGUUGAGGGUGGUGGUAAAUUAGAUGGAGGAAGUGGAAGCAAAAGUAAAUUAGAUGGAAGAUUUGGAAGUGGUAGAUUGAAUGGAGAAGGUGGUAGCAAAAGUAGAUUGGAUGGAAAAGUUGGAGGCAGUGGUAGAUUGAGUGAAGGAGGCGGAAGCAAAAGUAAAUUGGGUAGAGGAGGUGGAAGCAGAAGUAAAUUAGGUGGAGAAGGUGGAAGCGUUGGUAAAAUUAUUAAGGUAGAUGGAGGUAGUGGUAGAGUAGCUGGAAGUGGUGGUGGAUUAGUAGGAGAUAGUGGUAGAGUAGGUGGAGGUAGUGGUAGAGUAGAUGGAGGUGGAGGUAGAUUAGUUGGAGGUAGUGGUAGAUUAGCUGAAAAUAGUGGUAGACUAGGUGGAGGUAAUGGUAGAGUAGGUGGAGGAAGUGGUAGAUUGAGUCGUAUCUUCUCAAACUCGAGAAUAGGCAGACUUGGGAGCAAAGCUGCGGGUCUUGUGUUAAAGGCAGGAAAGAGAGACAAGAAGAAGAAAGGAGGGGUUGGGAAGAGGAGGAGGAGGCACAAACUGGGCGGGAAAGAAGAUGAAGAGAGUGAAAAAGAAGAGGAGAAGGGUAACGAAGAAGGGCUUCUCCUUCUUGCGCUAGAAGAGGAAGCUCUUCUGGCUUUGUCGAGGAGCACUUCUUCAUCUUCCUCCGGGUCCGAACUACCCCCUGACCCGUUUGCCAGGCAGGAGUCCUGCAGGUCCGAAGUGCCUCCUGACGUGCCUGCCAGGCAGGAGUCCUCAGGGUCCGAGUGGGUCCCUCCCCGCAGGAGUCGGCCGCUUCUUAUGAGCCAGGAAGCGAUUGGGGCUACGGUGGCGGCGGUGGAUCCACAUAUGACGCUAGUAAUAAUGGUGGUAAUGAUAAUGGUGGUAAUGAUAAUGGUGGUAAUGAUUAUGGUGGUAAUGAUUAUGGUGGUAAUGAUUAUGGUGGUGAUGAUUAUGGAGGUUAUGGGGAUUAUUAGGGACUAGGUGUCAGCAUAGAGAAAAUACAGAAGGUGGUGGCAAGCGGAGAAAUGUACUUUUCUACGUCACAGCUAAAAAUGAAGCCGCCCUUCUGAUUGGUCAAUACGAUCGCGGGAAAACCGAGACAUCUUUGAAAUAUUUAAAGGAGCGGAAAAGGUUGUGAGGUUUCCACUUAUUUUUGCUCUAAAAUCUCGUAACUAUGACUUUUUAUGUUUCAAUAUGUUUCUCUAUCAAUGUUCGACUGUAACUGAAAAUAAUUUGUAAGUUAAAAAUAUAUAUCCAUUUCAUAUAAUAACAACUCAGAUCUAGACUCGUCCCGUUUCGAAGGUAUAACCAUGUUAAAUUACGUGCUGUGCGUCAAAAAAGCCGAAAUUGGAGAGUCAUGGUGACUAAUGUUCAAUUAUAUGACUUUCAAUGUUAGUUUGAGUGGUGAUGUAGGUCUUUAUACAGGUUCCAUCAUGAAAUGUACUUUUUUUUGAACAGCGCGCCAGUCAGCGUACUAUUCUACGUCACUGCAAAUCUUCAAGAUGGCUGCCUUGCCACCACCUUCUGUAUUUUCUCUAUGAGGUGUCAGAGGGGAGGGAUCCGCUUUUAAAUGAACGCGUAAAACGGACUGUACAAGAUGCUAAAAUGACUAGACUUAUUAAAAACUAUUAAAACUCACUUGAACAUGAAAUGAGUAAAAUCGGACCGGUUUCGAAUGCUUUUCUUCAUCCUCAGCAAACAAACGCUCUGCCGUGCUGAGGAGGAAUGCCGUAUGAGCGUUCAAGCGUUGCCAUAUUUCAUUCAAUAAGAAACAAAGUUACUGAAAACAUUCUGAAUAUUUUCCCUCUAGUUUUGCAGAGAAUUUGUUUUGCAGUUUGAUACAAAAUAACUGGAAAUUUCAAGUAAAAAUAUGCAUAACAUUCUUUAAGUAAAAAUACAUGUUUUCUUCGCAGAAAUUUGGCAACUUUCAAAUGUUCUUACGGCGUUUUUCCGGCGUUAGAAAAAGCUCUCUUUCCCCUUGUAAUAACUAAUUAUUUUCUUUUUUCAAUGAGUCACUUAACAAAGCCGAAACUAGGAAAAAAUGGCGCGUGUUUUCUCUUCAACAUCUAACGUUUUGAGUCUCAGGAAGACGAACUGUUGCAUCUGCAAAAUUGAACGCCCGAUGUCGCGAGGCGUAAACUUGCAAUGCUCCGCUGUAUGUUGCCAAUGAACUGUCGCACAGUGGAUCGAGUCAAUGGGAGAGGUCGGAUAAAAUUUGGAAACUUCAAAAGCUUAUAACUCCGUUCACACAAUACUUUGAGGUUUUGAAAGUGGCUCCAUUGGUUUCCCCGUGAAAUUUUAUUUUAAUAGCUCCCCUUGUAAAUUAAAAUAUGACGAGUUAAACAUCAAAAUUUGCAGUUUUAGUUAAAAAUUUCAUGUCCUACCUCUGAUUCACUCGAUCCACUGCGUUUGUCGCUCGGAUUCGGGAGAAAAUUUGAAAAAACGAGGCCGAAUUACGUUUUUCCUAUCCUUAACUGUGUCGCUCACGUAGCCCUUAAAGCCGACUACAACUAAACAAACUGAAGAGCAAGGGAAAAGACGCGUGUUGAUGACGGCGCAGAGAUACAACUAUUCAUGCUUGAUGAAUGUCCGUGUUGCGUCUGCGAAAUUGAAGGCGCGAUGGUACAAGGCGUGAACUCACAAUGCUUUGCUCCAUGCUGCCAAUGAGGCGUCGCUCAGAUUUGGGAGUAAAGUCAAAAAACAGGGCCCGAUCACGUAGCUUCUCUCUUCGGCUGUGCUGAUAAUCAAUUUUUUUCAAAUUGGAUGUGUUUUUUAGGGCGUAAUAGUAGACUUUUAGCUGAAUCUCGUGGGUAACGUCCCCAUGCAACCUUCGGGCCAGGGAUUUUUAGCAAGUCGCGGGUCAAUUUGAUCCGACUCGGACAUCUAAGGGUUAAUUAAUAUGAAUAGGAUCAUUAUGCCACGCAAUUUUGGAGUGGAGUCCGGGAGAAGGGUACACAAAAUAUAAAUCCCAAAAAAACGUGACAACUACACCACUGCAUGAAAACUUUAAUUUCGCAUAGUCUGUCACAUAAAACAUUCCAACAUUCCAGAAAUCAGGCCUUUCAGGGCAUUUUAAAGUUACGGAACGAGAAAUUUCUGCACGAAAAAAACGCUAAUCAACAAAGUAUGAUAUAAAACUAAUCCUGAAAAUAUGAAAGAUUCGACCUGAAAAUGAAGAGUUUUUGCUCCUUUUUUCAAAAUUUUACCUGGUUUUCUGGGUCUAUCAUACAAUGUUGGUGUAUUCAUGUUGUGUUGUUAAUUUAAACGCUUAUUAUUCAUCUCGAUAAAAUUAAUUUAAAUUAAUGAGUUUAUUAACAAUUAGUUUUUUUGUAGUUUUUAAAGUUUAUAUUAAUAUAUAUUUAUGGAUUCGAAUCCCUCAACUUCGUACCCCAACUCGUGGCUCAUUAUUUCCCGCCGCUAAGUGGACAAUAUCAACCAAAAUUGGACGUAUUUCUGCCAAACGAACUGUGCGCAUUAAGACCUGAACCCUGAGACCCAUAAGAAUAUACGCAUAACAGGGCUCAUGUCAAAAUUCAAACAGUUCCAUUUGGCAGAAAUACUUCCUAUUAGCCUACCUUUGGAUUUAGCCUAAAUUAUUCUGAAACUUAAAUUUUUUUUGCAGCAUUCUGCUCCGAACUUUUUGAAAUGUCUUUUUUAAAAUCCAGGAUUAAUUUAUGAACGAUCUUAGAGC